rnacentral:rRNA from 1 species
CCUGAUGCAGCCAUGCCGCGUGUGUGAAGAAGGCCUUCGGGUUGUAAAGCACUUUCAGUCAGGAAGAAAGGGUGGGAGUUAAUACCUGACAUCUGUGACGUUACUGACAGAAGAAGCACCGGCUAACUCCGUGCCAGCAGCCGCGGUAAUACGGAGGGUGCGAGCGUUAAUCGGAAUUACUGGGCGUAAAGCGUACGCAGGCGGUUUGUUAAGCGAGAUGUGAAAGCCCCGGGCUCAACCUGGGAACUGCAUUUCGAACUGGCAAACUAGAGUGUGAUAGAGGGUGGUAGAAUUUCAGGUGUAGCGGUGAAAUGCGUAGAGAUCUGAAGGAAUACCGAUGGCGAAGGCAGCCACCUGGGUCAACACUGACGCUCAUGUACGAAAGCGUGGGGAGCAAACAGGAUUAGAUACCCUGGUAGUCCACGCCGUAAACGAUGUCUACUAGAAGCUCGGAGCCUCGGUUCUGUUUUUCAAAGCUAACGCAUUAAGUAGACCGCCUGGGGAGUACGGCCGCAAGGUUAAAACUCAAA